UGCGGAGGCCGACACCCCCGGCCCCUCCGCACGGCGGAGAUGUGCUAGCUGUGUGGCGUCGGCAUAUCGGAUCUGCACAUCUGGUGCCCCUUGGGGAGCUCUCCCAUUGCCACUUUGGGAAUCUGUACCACAGUAGGGUUUUGCUGAAUUGCCCAGACCAGGCUUGAGCUUGUGAUCCUUCUUCAGAGUGCUGAAAUUACAGGUUUGUUCCCCCUUGCCUUCUUUGGCUAUGAUAUUUUUUAACACAGUGCUUCACCCCCCGCCAUCCCAUAAAAUAAUGGUCCUCAUUUUAGGUUUGUUGUU